rnacentral:lncRNA from 1 species
UUCGAGAGGCCGGCCGCUGCUGUACUUUUAUGAGUGUGAUUAUUUGCGUACUCAUAAGCUAUCUUUGAUCAUAGGACUUUCAAAUCGACGAUAUAUACCGUUAAAUAUUAUUUAGAGCAUUUAAAAUUUUUAGAAAUCAAAUUUUAUAAUUUUACGAUAUUAUUUACCUUACGAUCAAAAUAUCACAAAAUUGACAAUAUUUAACGGCCGGUAUGAAAUAUUUGCUAGUUUAACGGUGAAAAAGAAUCGGAAUAGGUUGAAAUUUUGAUAGAAAAUUCUAUUCACUACCUACAUAAAGAUCAAUAACUCCGAUCUUAAAUUGAAGGAUCCGAUCAUCCAUUUUUAUGAUAUCAUUCGAUUUUAAUCGUUCAUUUUAUACCCUCUUGAUGAACUUUUAUAAUGAUUUUAAAAAAUUACAAAAUUUAUUUUUUAGAAGUUUCAAAUACUCUAGAUCAUUUUAGCGGUGUAGAUCGUCGAUUUGAAAAACCCAAUAUCAAAAACAACUUAUAAGUACGAAGAGCUCUAUACUCAUAGGAGUAUAGUAGCCCUACUCCUAAUUCGAAAUCGAAAUUGACGAAUUCGUUUGUCACUAUUUAAUAUAUAAAAUAUUUAUUUUAAUUUUAAUUUUUGGAUGAAUAAAAAUUUUUGUAAUUAUUUUUUUUUAAAUCCGGUUUAGAAGGUCGGAUUGAAAAUUAAAUUCGAGUGGAAUUGAUUUAUUCAGAUUAAAUUUAACUUUUGUAAGCUUAUUUUUUAAUUAAAACAUAAAUUUAAGUUUAAAAAUUAUAUUUAUAAAUUUAAAUUUUAAUUCGAACUUAAAUUAAAAAUUAAAAUUCAACCAAGUAUUUUUAUAAAUUUGAAUUUAAAUUUAACUUUAAUUUAAAAUCUAAAAUUUUAUUCAAAUUUUAUUUAAAGUUUAAAUUAAAUUUAUGGAUUCAAAUUAAAAUUUAAAUUAUAAUUUUAAGUUUGAAUUUGACUAAAUCAAAAUUUAGUUUUAUAUUUUGAAUUAUCCGUUCAAUUUCAACUUUUUAAUUUUUUUAAAAAAAUAUAUAUUUAAAAUUUUGACAUCAUUUUAAAAUUUUAACGUAAAUUUUUAAUAUUCAAUUUUUAGUUUGAAUUUAGACUAAUAUAUUAUAAAAGAUAAAAUUGAUAUAUUAAUUUGAUUACGUUUCUGAUAUCUAUCUGAACCAAACACCAAAAUGGAAAUGGUUUAUUCCGAUACCGAACACCGACAAUAGAAAUUGUUUAUUCCGAUUCCGAUUCAGAUGAUGAACCAAGCAGAAUGAGGUAAUGAAUCGUUCUGAUUCCGUUUUCGUUUCCAACUUAUUCUCAUUCCAAUUCUGAAACCGAUUUCGACUUCGAACCAAACAAACCCUUAAUGUAAUCCCAUUUUCUGGCUAACGUGGAUUUAUACAAUU